CCUUGCCUGGGCGUGUCAGGCUCUGAGAUAACGUUAUCUCCUUCUGCCUUCUGAAGUGGCCCUCUAAACUUGCCUCCAAAUGAGCCCAAUGACCUAUAAAAUGAGAUUAGCCAAUAAGAAUAAAGACGAGAGGCUCCCCUGCCAUAGUGGUGAUGUCACCAAUGCAGAUUGAAUACCCAAAACGCUUCAUGUUGAAGUGGAAGAGACCAAGAGGAUGUGGGGAAAGAGACAAUUUAAGGGCUGAAAUUUCAAUUUCGUGGGCCUCUCUGUUUACCUUGAUAGUUAAUUUGUUUGGUGUGAAGAGAGGAGCAGGUCAAACCGGCCUCUGCUAGACUCCUGGACAGAAGCAUCACGACUCGAAAGACAACAUUUGAAACUGGAAUUUAACAUGUUAAAAUAAAUAAAAGCUUAUUGGGGUUUGGUGGGUUUUGAGGGCCAAUCAGCUUUCAG